rnacentral:rRNA from 1 species
AGAAUCAACGCUGGCGGCGUGCCUAACACAUGCAAGUCGCACGAGAAAGUGGAGCAAUCCAUGAGUACAGUGGCGCACGGGUGAGUAACACGUGAAUCAUCUACCUUCGAGUGUGGAAUAACUGAGAGAAAUCUUAGCUAAUACCUCAUAAUACCUACGGGUCAAAGCAGCAAUGCGCUUGAAGAGGAGUUCGCGGCAGAUUAGUUAGUUGGCGGGGUAAUGGCCCACCAAGACGAUGAUCUGUAUCCGGCCUGAGAGGGCGCACGGACACACUGGAACUGAAACACGGUCCAGACUCCUACGGGAGGCAGGCAGUGGGGAAUUUUGCGCAAUGGGGGAAACCCUGACGCAGCAACGCCGCGUGGAGGAUGAAAUCCCUUGGGAUGUAAACUCCUUUCGAUAGGGAAGAUAAUGACGGUACCUAUAGAAGAGCCCCGGCUAACUUCGCGCCAGCAGCCGC